CACGCGUUGCACUAUUCACGAAGCCAAGCUCUCGGCCAAUAAAUGCACCCAAGCUCUAGGCCAAGAAACGGCCAAAGCGACCGGUCGCUUGAACACAACUUCUCAUUCUUUGCGACUUCUUCUCCUUCCUUACUGUUCCAUCUUCAAAGCUCUUUGUUUAUUCCUCAUCCCGCAUCUAUGGUGAGACAAAACACAACAAAUUUUUUACUUCAUAGUACAUCCUAGGCAUGCGACAUUAGGGUAAAGAGGGGAAAUAUGAAAGUUUUGGUAAACCACAUAUUUUUGGUUGAAUUCGGUUUUCCUAUUGUUUCUUGAAGCAUAAGGUAACUUUUCCUAUUGUAACUUGGAGGGGUUUAUAGCCUGUGGAAUUGGCACAUAUAACAAUUUGGAAAAUCAACAUAGUGCUAUGCAACGGGAAUCUCAUUGUGAUGGUAUCUUCAAUCACAAUGACAUAAUUAUCGUAGCUAAGACUUCCUUUUUCUUUAAAAAGUCAUUGAAGAAUUUACAAUUUAGAGAAUUUGUGAGACCCUUUGAGUUUUUGGUGUAUCUAUGGUAUAGAUAUGUUUG
rnacentral:lncRNA from 1 species